AAAUGCAAGAAGUUGAAUCAGGUUUAGUGAAGCCACCCAAGCAAGAAAAAAGCCCUAAUAUGGUUGGCUCUGAAAAUAAGGAAAUCAUCUACAAAAUGGAACUUCAUGUGGGAAAAAACAUGCUUAGUCACAAAGGCAUUGUUGAUAUACAGACAAAAGCUUAAGGAGGAAAAUGAAAAUCUGAGAACUGUGAUGACAAAGCCAGGAGAUCGUCAGGCAUGAGAGAAAUUCCUCUGGUGCAUUGGAGGAGUUGGUC
rnacentral:lncRNA from 1 species